CGAGGCACUACGGUGCUGAAGCAACAAAUGCCCUGCUUCCAGGAAAAGCCUCUAAGCAUCAGGUAACAUCAAAUCGUACCCCAAACCGACACAGGUGGUCAGGUAGAGAAUACCAAGGCGCUUGAGAGAACUCGGGUGAAGGAACUAGGCAAAAUGGUGCCGUAACUUCGGGAGAAGGCACGCUGACACGUAGGUGAAGUGAUUUACUCAUGGAGCUGAAGUCAGUCGAAGAUACCAGCUGGCUGCAACUGUUUAUUAAAAACACAGCACUGUGCAAACACGAAAGUGGACGUAUACGGUGUGACGCCUGCCCGGUGCCGGAAGGUUAAUUGAUGGGGUCAGCGCAAGCGAAGCUCCUGAUCGAAGCCCCGGUAAACGGCGGCCGUAACUAUAACGGUCCUAAGGUAGCGAAAUUCCUUGUCGGGUAAGUUCCGACCUGCACGAAUGGCGUAAUGAUGGCCAGGCUGUCUCCACCCGAGACUCAGUGAAAUUGAACUCGCUGUGAAGAUGCAGUGUACCCGCGGCAAGACGGAAAGACCCCGUGAACCUUUACUAUAGCUUGACACUGAACAUUGAGCCUUGAUGUGUAGGAUAGGUGGGAGGCUUUGAAGUGUGGACGCCAGUCUGCAUGGAGCCGACCUUGAAAUACCACCCUUUAAUGUUUGAUGUUCUAACGUGGACCCGUUACCCGGGUUGCGGACAGUGUCUGGUGGGUAGUUUGACUGGGGCGGUCUCCUCCUAAAGAGUAACGGAGGAGCACGAAGGUUGGCUAAUCCUGGUCGGACAUCAGGAGGUUAGUGCAAUGGCAUAAGCCAGCUUGACUGCGAGCGUGACGGCGCGAGCAGGUGCGAAAGCAGGUCAUAGUGAUCCGGUGGUUCUGAAUGGAAGGGCCAUCGCUCAACGGAUAAAAGGUACUCCGGGGAUAACAGGCUGAUACCGCCCAAGAGUUCAUAUCGACGGCGGUGUUUGGCACCUCGAUGUCGGCUCAUCACAUCCUGGGGCUGAAGUAGGUCCCAAGGGUAUGGCUGUUCGCCAUUUAAAGUGGUACGCGAGCUGGGUUUAGAACGUCGUGAGACAGUUCGGUCCCUAUCUGCCGUGGGCGCUGGAGAACUGAGGGGGGCUGCUCCUAGUACGAGAGGACCGGAGUGGACGCAUCACUGGUGUUCGGGUUGUCAUGCCAAUGGCACUGCCCGGUAGCUAAAUGCGGAAGAGAUAAGUGCUGAAAGCAUCUAAGCACGAAACUUGCCCCGAGAUGAGUUCUCCCUGAGACUUAGAGUCUCCUGAAGGAACGUUGAAGACGACGACGUUGAUAGGCCGGGUGUGUAAGCGCAGCGAUGCGUUGAGCUAACCGGUACUAAUGAACCGUGAGGCUUAACCUUACAACGCCGAAG
rnacentral:rRNA from 1 species